rnacentral:antisense_RNA from 16 species
GCUUUCUCCCAGCUGAUGACUGGGGGUUAGCCGACGCCCUGUGAGUUCCCGCUCACGGGGCGUUCAACUUUUUCAGGU